rnacentral:rRNA from 1 species
GUGAAUCAUCGAGUCUUUGAACGCAUCUUGCGCCCUCUGGUAUUCCGGAGGGCACGCCUGUUUGAGUGUCAUGAAACUCUCACCCCUUCCCUUUCUUAAUUGAUUGGGGUAGACGGUGGACGUGAGUGUUGCCGGUGUUAAUCAUCGGCUCGCUUGAAAUACAUUAGCAGAAUCCUUUACCUUUUGGUUCUACUCAACGUGAUAAGUACUCCGUUGAGGACAGCGCGCCUUCGGGUGUGUUGGCCAAUCGAUUUAGUUGAUACGCUUCUAAUCAGUACAGACUUCGGGAGCUGACAAUUAUGACAAUCUGGCCUCAAAUCAGGUGGGACUACCCGCUGAACUUAA